UGAUAGUGGAUUCAAUUGCAACGAAAACGUCAGUUUACCAAGUUGAUUACAUUUUAUCAGUACACACUAGAGUAUCCACUUAAUCCCCAUUUCGAUCGAUUUAUUGUUUUAAGUGUAAGAUUACGUUUAUGUGAGAAAAUAAAACUACCCAACCAGCAGAUAACAGCAGAAUUUAGGUAAAAUUUAUUCAUAUUAUACAUCUCAGUGGUUGUGUUUGUUUUAGCUCCUUUUAUGUGAACAAACUAAGUCAACAUUUUGACCUUGGUGAGAUCUUAUAUUUAAAGGCUAAGGACAAGGCUACGAUAAUCUAAUGGAGUCCAUAUGCUACUCAUAUUCAAACAAUUCAGUUCAUUUACCUCAUAUCUUUUUGUUAGAGUGUUCUAUUCAAUAUAUGGAUCCGAGUCAUUGAUACUGUUUUUUCGACAAAAUGCGUUUAGUUAUAUUAGAUACAUGUGCAAAUGUCGGCGAAUGGUCAGCCAAAUACGUCAUGAAGCGUAUUCGCGACUUCCAACCAGGUCCCGGCCGAUACUUUGUACUCGGACUACCGACUGGAUCCACUCCCUUAGGGAUGUACCGUAAAUUAAUCGAGUAUUACAAUGCCGGUAACGUUUCUUUCAAGUACGUAAAAACGUUCAACAUGGACGAAUAUGUGGGGUUGCCGAGAAACCAUCCAGAGAGUUACCAUUACUUUAUGUGGGAAAAUUUUUUCAAGCACAUUGACAUACUGCCAGAAAAUGUUAACAUUCUCGACGGCAAUGCGCCAGACCUGUCUGCAGAAUGUUCAUCAUUCGAGCAAAAAAUUAAGGAUGUUGGUGGCAUUGAGUUAUUCAUCGGAGGCAUUGGUCCCGAUGGUCAUAUUGCGUUUAAUGAACCUGGUUCAUCACUGGUAUCACGUACACGAGUAAAGACAUUGGCUCAAGAUACACUAGAAGCAAAUGCUAGAUUUUUUGGAAACGACAUGAGCAAAGUGCCGAAGGAAGCGUUAACUGUCGGAGUUGGCACCGUCAUGGAUUCAAAAGAAGUGAUGAUAUUGAUCACUGGUGCCCAUAAGGCGUUCGCUCUGUACAAAGCUAUUGAAGAGGGUGUGAAUCAUAUGUGGACUGUGAGCGCUUUUCAACAACACGCCAACACUCUCAUGAUCUGUGACGAGGACGCGACAUUGGAAUUGAAAGUCAAGACCGUCAAAUAUUUCAAGGGUCUGAGUGCUGUCCACCACAAACUUAUUGAUUUGAAUGAGCCAUUUUUGGAGCACAGGCGAUAGAAAAAAAAUCUUUUACACUGGAUCGACAACAUUUACGCCAUUUUUAUUAAAAUUACGCAUCUGGUAAUUGGGUCUAAUGGAAUUACAUUCAAAGCUGAUUGCUGAAUCUUAGUAAAUUUAAAUCCAAUUGAAAAUUAGCGUACAAUUUUUGUUCAUUAAAAUGUAUUUUUGUAAUUCAACAUAAAACGGGAAAAAUAAACUAACUAAAACGGGUAAA